rnacentral:rRNA from 1 species
CUAGUAGCGGCGAGCGAAGAGGGAAAAGCCCAGCACCGAACCUCGCACCCCCGGGUGUCGCGGAAUGUGGUGUUCAGGAGGACCGUGCGCGUCUGUCCGGUAUCGUCCAAGUCUCCAUGAAUGGGGCCAGCAACCCAGAGAGGGUGUCAGGCCCGUGGGACGAGCCGCGACCGUGUAUUGGGUCUCUCCUUAGAGUCGGGUUGCUUGAGAGUGCAGCCCUAAGCGGGAGGUAAACUCCUUCUAAGGCUAAAUACGGCCACGAGACCGAUAGCGAACAAGUACCGCGAGGAAAGUUGAAAAGAACUUUGAAGAGAGAGUUCAAUAGUGCGUGAAACCGUUCAGGGGGUUAAACGGGUGGGCCCUCGAAGGUCGAACGCCCCCUACUCCUGUUCCUGUAGCGCUGGCACGUGCUGCUUUUCGAUCUCGCUACGAGACGGAGCUUGGUGCGGUAUGCCGGACUGCAGGGGCCGCUAGUUAGGGGGCCAGUAGGACUCCGCAACCGGCUGGGUUUUUAAGUCGUCAGAAGGGUUCUGGAGGAAGCCUCCUCUGGGGGGUGAAAUCCGGGAUUCCGGGCGAUCUUCCCGGCCGUGAACCAGAAUUCCCCCGUCUGGCGUCUGGGACGAGUUCUGGCAACAGGACUGUCGGUUCUGGGCGUCACCGUGGGGACACCGCGGAGAGUAGAGUCGGGUCCCACCCGACCCGUCUUGAAACACGGACCAAGGAGUCUAACAUGUGCGCGAGUCGUCGGGUACUACUAAACCCGAAGGCGCAAUGAAAGUGAAGACUGUGCCUCGUCGCCGGUCUAGGGGAGAUCCCGUUCUGCUUCGGUAGCUCGGGCGCAUCCCCGGGCGUCGAAGCCGCGUUGCCGGCUAGACGAACCAAGAGCGUACACGUUGGGACCCGAAAGAUGGUGACCUAUGCCUGGCCAGGACGAAGCCAGGGGAAACCCUGGUGGAGGUCCGCAGCGAUUCUGACGUGCAAAUCGAUCGUCGGAGUUGGGUAUAGGGGCGAAA